rnacentral:rRNA from 1 species
UACGAAGGGGGCUAGCGUUGCUCGGAAUCACUGGGCGUAAAGGGCACGUAGGCGGAUCUUUAAGUCAGGGGUGAAAUCCUGGAGCUCAACUCCAGAACUGCCUUUGAUACUGGGGAUCUCGAGUCCGGAAGAGGUGAGUGGAACUCCGAGUGUAGAGGUGAAAUUCGUAGAUAUUCGGAAGAACACCAGUGGCGAAGGCGGCUCACUGGUCCGGUACUGACGCUGAGGUGCGAAAGCGUGGGGAGCAAACAGG